AGCGAGACUAGAGUCACAUCUUGAUAUUGUGAUUGUCCUGGUGUGCUUAAGUCCUCGCAGAAUGAACUCUCUGCUUAUUCAUUGGCUGCUGCUUCUCAUUGCCCAGCCAAUCACCAGCUCAGAAACAUGU